rnacentral:rRNA from 1 species
AACGAACGCUGGCGGCAUGCCUAACACAUGCAAGUCGAACGAGACCUUCGGGUCUAGUGGCGGACGGGUGAGUAACGCGUGGGAACCUGCACUUCAGUGGGGGAUAACGACGGGAAACUGUCGCUAAUACCGCAUACGCCCUACGGGGGAAAGAUUUAUCGCUGAAGGAUGGGCCCGCGUCGGAUUAGCUAGUUGGUGAGGUAAUGGCUCACCAAGGCGACGAUCCGUAGCUGGUCUAAGAGGAUGAUCAGCCACACUGGGACUGAGACACGGCCCAGACUCCUACGGGAGGCAGCAGUGGGGAAUAUUGGACAAUGGGGGAAACCCUGAUCCAGCAAUGCCGCGUGAGUGAUGAAGGCCUUAGGGUUGUAAAGCUCUUUCGGUGGUGACGAUGAUGACGGUAACCACAGAAGAAGCCCCGGCUAACUUCGUGCCAGCCGCCGCUGUAAGAC